AUUGAACGCUGGCGGAAUGCUUUACACAUGCAAGUCGAACGGCAGCACGGACUUCGGUCUGGUGGCGAGUGGCGAACGGGUGAGUAAUGUAUCGGAACGUGCCCAGUCGUGGGGGAUAACGUAGUGAAAAUUACGCUAAUACCGCAUACGAUCUAUGGAUGAAAGCGGGGGAUAGCAAGACCUCGCGCGAUUGGAGCGGCCGAUAUCAGAGUAGGUAGUUGGUGGGGUAAAGGCCCACCAAGCCAACGAUCUGUAGCCGGUCUGAGAGGACGACCAGCCACACUGGAACUGAGACACGGUCCAGACUCCUACGGGAGGCAGCAGUGGGGAAUUCUGGACAAUGGGCGAAAGCCUGAUCCAGCCAUUCCGCGUGCAGGAUGAAGGCCCUCGGGUUGUAAACUGCUUUUGUACAGAACGAAAAGGUUUCUACUAAUACUAGGAGCUCAUGACGGUACUGUAAGAAUAAGCACCGGCUAACUACGUGCCAGCCGCCGCGGUAA
rnacentral:rRNA from 1 species